UCCGUCUAGGGGUGGUAGGCGCUACUGAAAUUCAACUGCAAAAACAGGAGUUGGUUAGUGCCUGAUGGUUAACUCAGCCCUAAGAUGGAGAAUACCAUUUAUGAAGUAAAGACUGUCUUCAGCCAUGAAAGAAGUCCAAGGUAUAGCAAAUAAAUUCCUAUACCCAACUGCCUUGCC